rnacentral:pre_miRNA from 1 species
AUUGGAGGGGGGGGGUCCCUCAGCCUGGACUGUGAGAGGGCACAGGCCAGGCCAAGGGACCCCACCGGUGCACA